GGGGAUUUAGCUCAGCGGUAGAGCGCAUGCCUAGCAAGCACAAGGCCCUGGGUUCGGUCCCCAGCUCCCG
rnacentral:tRNA from 1 species